GGCAUGAGGGUGAAGGCGAGUGAAAGAAGGUGACCGAGCCAGGAGGAGAGAGAGCACAGAUGGCUUGGUGGUGGUUUGGUAUGGUCCUCCUUCCCAUUCCCUCUUAGGCAUGGAGAGCUGACUGAUGGAUAGAGUGUCGCACGAGGACGCAAUGGAAGAAGUGUGCCAUUGCUGAGACCCCAAGGAUGAAGAAUGGUGAGCCCUGACAGUCCUGCUGGCCUCCAGUCAUUUCCCGCUGAAGAUGGCCACUUCCUCCAGCUUGCUCUGGAAACCAAGGUCCAGCAAUGACGAUGGUAGAGGAAACACGAUGCUGUGAAGGACAAUCUCCUUAUCCGUGAUGACAGACAACAGCCCCUGAAAAUAUUUAACCUUAAGCUGCCCUCUGCAAGACUCUUCUGGCAGCAGUGGAUGUCUGAUUCCUGGUAGGCAGAGAUUCUAGGCCAUCAUCUGGAAGAUCUGGAGAAAUAUCUGGCUUUGGGUAAAGUCAAAGGAGAGACUAGAUGGCUCUCAGAGAUAAGGCCCGCUCCUGGGAAGUAAGCGGCUUUGUUGCCCAUGCUGGGCGGAGCUGCUCUGGGCUGGGGGAGUUCUGAUUCCAACAUCUCUGGAGGUGGAUGGCAGCUUCAGAAAGGUUUCCGCAGGAGAAGAGAAAGAGGAGGUCUUCAGUCAACACGAGUUCAGAGAUGGAGAGAUGGCUCGGCAGGUAAGGUGCUUGUGGUACCAGCUGCACGGCCUGAGUUUGAUCCUAAGAACCUACCUGCAUAAAGAUGGAAGGACAGACCCAACUCCACAAAGUUGAACUCUGAUCUCCAUACGUACACAAUAAAAAAAUACUUUUUUAAAAAGUUAACAGUCUGCAUGUGUUCCAUAUUAGCACAUGAACUCCAUCAAGCAGUCUGAUGUUACUUAACAAACAAACAAACAAACCAACAACAGACUUGGAGCUGGAGGUGUAGGAGUGGCAAAAGAAAACUAAAACUUCACAGCUUCUGUAGUCAGAGCUGAGGUCGGCUUCUGCUGUGUGUCACAAAGCCUCUGUUCAACCCUUUUCAUGUGUUGCAAAGAACGGGAAGUAGGGUGUCACAGAGUUUUAUCCCCCUUCCCCAUUUUCAGGCUAACACUUUGGAUAUGAUCAAUCAAUAAAAUAACGACCACUUCCUAUUCGCAUGCCUUAUUUCCUGAAGAGGGGAUAUUGG